rnacentral:rRNA from 1 species
AAGCGGCAACAGCUCAAAUUUGAAAUCUGGCUCUUUUAGAGUCCGAGUUGUAAUUUGCAGAGGGCGCUUUGGCUUUGGCAGCGGUCCAAGUUCCUUGGAACAGGACGUCACAGAGGGUGAGAAUCCCGUACGUGGUCGCUGGCUAUUGCCGUGUAAAGCCCCUUCGACGAGUCGAGUUGUUUGGGAAUGCAGCUCUAAAUGGGAGGUACAUUUCUUCUAAAGCUAAAUAUUGGCCAGAGACCGAUAGCGCACAAGUAGAGUGAUCGAAAGAUGAAAAGCACUUUGGAAAGAGAGUCAAACAGCACGUGAAAUUGUUGAAAGGGAAGCGCUUGCAGCCAGACUUGCUUACAGUUGCUCAUCCGGGUUUUUACCCGGUGCACUCUUCUGUAGGCAGGCCAGCAUCAGUUUGGGCGGUAGGAUAAAGGUCUCUGUCACGUACCUCCUUUCGGGGAGGCCUUAUAGGGGAGACGACAUACUACCAGCCUGGACUGAGGUCCGCGCAUCUGCUAGGAUGCUGGCGUAAUGGCUGUAAGCGGCCCGUCUUGAAACACGGA